AUUGAACGCUGGCGGCAGGCCUAACACAUGCAAGUCGAGCGGAUGAAGGGAGCUUGCUCCUGGAUUCAGCGGCGGACGGGUGAGUAAUGCCUAGGAAUCUGCCUGGUAGUGGGGGAUAACGUCCGGAAACGGGCGCUAAUACUGCAUACGUCCUGAGGGAGAAAGUGGGGGAUCUUCGGACCUCACGCUAUCAGAUGAGCCUAGGUCGGAUUAGCUAGGUGGUGGGGUAAAGGCCUACCAAGGCGACGAUCCGUAACUGGUCUAGAGGAUGAUCAGUCACACUGGAACUGAGACACGGUCCAGACUCCUACGGGAAGCCGCAGUGGGGAAUAUUAGACAAUGGACGAGAGGCUAAUCCAGCAAAGCCGCGUGAGUGAAGAAGGUCUUCGGAUUGUAAAGCUCUUUAGGUUGGGUGGAAGGGCAGUAAGUUAAUACCUUACUGUUUUGACGUUACCGACAGAAUAAGCACCGGCUAACUUCGUG
rnacentral:rRNA from 1 species